GACGAACGCUGGCGGCGUGCUUAACACAUGCAAGUCGAGCGAGGCCCUUCCUUCGGGAAGGUGUCCUAGCGGCGAACGGGUGAGUAACACGUGGGCAACCUGCCCUCAGCUCUGGGAUAACUCCGGGAAACCGGGGCUAAUACCGGAUACGACCUCUAAGGGCAUCCGAAGAGGUGGAAAGUUUUUCGGCUGAGGAUGGGCCCGCGGCCUAUCAGCUUGUUGGUGGGGUGACGGCCUACCAAGGCGACGACGGGUAGCCGGCCUGAGAGGGUGACCGGCCACACUGGGACUGAGACACGGCCCAGACUCCUACGGGAGGCAGCAGUGGGGAAUAUUGCGCAAUGGGCGAAAGCCUGACGCAGCGACGCCGCGUGGGGGACGAA
rnacentral:rRNA from 1 species